ensembl:lncRNA
CUUAGACUUUUGUCAUUGUGACCGCCUCCCUAGCUGCAAGUGUUAGCCCUGUAGCUGGAGUUGUUUUCUGGAGUAUGCUGUGAACAGAACAGUGUAAUAACCCAUGGCAGGACACCAGUGUGAUGAUCUCAUAUGAAGCAGAUUACAGUUGCUCAGCCUGGGACUCGUCUAUCUCCUGCUCCACCAACAAGCUAAAAAGGCCAGAGGAAUAAUGUGUUACUAUCUAUCCUCCUGCAUGAAGGAACAUAUUACGUGACACCUGUAUUGCCUCUGCGCUGCCCCCAAAACCAAUGAUCAGCACAGUUGCUUCUGUUUGUAAGUAUAGGCUGGAAUAAAACUAUUGCUCUUUGUUCCCUGUAUUGUAAUGUACUUACUCUCAAUCAAGUGGUAAUUUUCUCCCUUUUUCCAACAAAGAAAUACUCAAC